CUACGUAGGGGGCGAGCGUUGUCCGGAAUGAUUGGGCGUAAAGGGCGCGUAGGCGGCCCGGUAAGUCUGGAGUGAAAGUCCUGUUUUUAAGAUGGGAAUUGCUUUGGAUACUGUCGGGGUUGAGUGCAGGAGAGGUAAGUGGAAUUCCCAGUGUAGCGGUGAAAUGCGUAGAGAUUGGGAGGAACACCAGUGGCGAAGGCGACUUACUGGACUGUAACUGACGCUGAGGCGCGAAAGUGUGGGGAGCAAACAGGAUUAGAUACCCUGGUAGUCCACACUGUAAACGAUGAAUGCUAGGUGUAGGGGGUAUCGACCCCUUCUGUGCCGCAGUCAACACAAUAAGCAUUCCGCCUGGGGAGUACGGCCGCUAGGUUGAAACUCAAAGGAAUUGACGGGG
rnacentral:rRNA from 1 species